CUUUUUCCGGUAGCCGAGUAGCGUGAGUACCGUCCAUUAAUGUGGUGACGAGGCAGAUCGAUUGAUCGAUCUAAUUAAUAUCAAAGGUGAUGAUGACAUUAGCAGUAAAGAUUCCUAGUGUAAAGGGACGUUUACAUUGGAGGUAGUAAGACCGCGGAGUAGGAAGUAAGAGGGUUUUAUCGGUGUAACAGUAGGAGUAAGCGAAAUGGUUUAAAGGACGUCUACAUUGGAAACGUCUCUUUAUUCCCAUUUCCUACUAUCUACUGUCUUACUGCCAGCCAAUCAGAGACGAUGUGAAUGUUUCAAACAAGACGCGACAUAUGUAUUUAUGCCGAUGGUUUUUUGUGGACGUGCAAGUGCAGUUUUAUUGUGUAAUUAUUCUUUUAUAAUGGAUGAUCAAUAUAAUGUGGAUGGCGUUGAUAGCGUUGGUGACUUUGAGGAAUAUGAAGAAGAAAUUGUUGGAAGUGAUACAAUUCAACGUCAAAAAGAACUUAUUGCUAUUGUCAAAGUUAACCCACUGCUAUAGGAUAAACGGCAAAAGGGAUAUUGUAGUAAGAAUAAAGAACUUGUAUGGGCCUCUGUGGCUGCAAUAUUUGAAAAUAUGUCAGGUCUAGAAGCUGAAAAAGAAUUUUAUAAAAUUCGACAAAAAUAUGGAAAAGAGAGACGUAAAGUAAUUAUGUCCUUAAAAAGAAAAUCUGGGCAGAGUUCGCAACCCAUAUGUUCCUACAUGGGAAUUAUAUGAGAUAUGUGAUAGUUUUCUACAUACAGUUAUCGUACCUCGAAAAAGCAGCAGCAAUUAUAUGAAAACUGCGUCUUCAUCAAAAUCAAAUGAAGUUAGUUAUUCGUCCUCGCAGUUUCAACUGACUGUGCCGCAAUGUAUGAAGCCAUCUACAGUGUAUCAUAAGGGAGCGGUGCACUUGGACACGGUGCAUUUGGACACAGCCAAUCACAGCACCGUGUGAUUAGAGACAUUUGUAGGGUCCCUUGGAACAGCGACUUGUGAUUGGACUGUGUCCAAUUGCCCCGUGUCCAACUGAUAUACACCCGUAUCAUAAUAUUACAGCUGCACAUACUCGUAAUGUUAACUUGACAUCAAAUUUCUAUACAUGAUUAUCCAGCGAUGAUACAAGUGAUUCUGUUACUUCUAAGUCUCCAAAGAUAUCAUUCCAGUCUCUAAAGCAGCUGGAAAUGCAAGCACAGCCUCAGUCCCAAACGCAAUUAACAUGUACUGUUGGAAUUGGAACACCAGGGGAGGAAAUUUAUUCUACAGAAUAGGUUCUGCGGAAAACGAAUCAGGCAACAGCAAAGACAGUUCCUCCACCUGAUGCUUUCAAUAAAAGGAAAAGGAAAUCAGAAGAUAUUUUGACAGAAACAUAUAUUAAACAAUGUGAAGGAUUUAAUGAUCUAGCUCGACAAAUUUCACAGACAUUGGUUGCAAAGAAUAACAUAGAACCUGCUCAUACAACAGCCCCAGAUCCCAUCGUAGGAGCAAUUCAUUUGGCACUGACAAAAGUAAAGGAUUUUGAUAAGUUUGAAUGCAUAUUGGAUGUGUUGCAAUACAUCAAUGAAAAAUAUGUCAAAAAGAAUGUGAUAUAACAGCAUAUACGAAAUAUUAAAAUAUUUUAUUAUUUUUUAUCAUUUCUAUUAAAAUGUUACUAUAGUAGUAAGUUCUUUAAAUGUUCCUAACUUUUUAGUUUCGUUAAUUUGAAAGUAAUACUUUUUCAUUUCCAAGUUGUGUUAUGCAAAGAUGAAGAAAUUCUUUAUGUUGUUUUGUAAGCUUUUCAUUUUUAUAAGUUUUUAUAAACCCAUGCAAGUUCUUUAUUCUUGUUACAAUAUUCCUUUUGUCGUUUAUCUCAUAGCAGUGGGUUAACUUUGACAAUGGCAAUAAGUUUUUUUUGACGUUUAAUUGUAUCAAUUCCAACAUUUUUUUCUUAGUAUUAUAUAUUUUUUUGUUCUUCGUUAAUUAAUCUAAAUGUUAUUGUGAGACUUUCGGUCAUGUGCAAUUCGGUGCUAUAGAUUUGUAAGUGAUAAAGAAUUAUUUUAAUAAAGAAAA